AUGCUCACUUCAGCAGCACACAUACUAAAAUUGGAAUGAUACAGAGAAGAUUAGCAUGGCCCCAGCAAAAAGAUGACAUGCACAUUUGUGAAGCAUUCCAUAUAUUU